UACGAAGGGGGCGAGCGUUGUUCGGAUUUACUGGGCGUAAAGGGCGCGCAGGCGGCCGCAUUUGUCAGGCGUGAAAGCCCCGGGCUUAACCUGGGAACUGCGUUUGAUACGGUGUGGCUAGAGUUCGGGAGAGGAGAGUGGAAUUCCCGAGUGUAGAGGUGAAAUUCGUAGAUAUUCGCAAGAACACCAGUGGCGAAGGCGGCUCACUGGCCCGAUACUGACGCUGAGGCGCGAAAGCUAGGGGAGCAAACGGG
rnacentral:rRNA from 1 species